rnacentral:misc_RNA from 1 species
GACCGCUCGCUCAGCACUGCCUCACGUGAGCAUCAGGGAGAGGCAGACAGUCCGACAGGUACAUCGACGACGGGACAAGCCAUGUCUUGACGACACGAUUCCUGCCGCCCUCGCCCAACGUCCACGCUCCGGUGACCUCCUUCCUCGCCAGGUCGUACUCCAGGAGCCGGAGCUUCCACGCCGACCACACGUACACGGCGUCCUUCUCCGGGUGCAGCGCCAGGACCCUGACCUCGCCCCGCCUGCCGCCGCAGCAUCGCCCUCCCUCCACGACGUCGUCGCCGAACCUGACGGCGUGCUUCAGCCGCCACCGCAGCGCAGGCAGCUCCCCGUCGAGCACCCAGACCUUGAGCAGCCGCGCGCCGUCGCUGGCCAUGUAGUGCAGCCUCCCCGCGGAGUGCGCGAGGCGGCCGUCGACGCCGUCCGCAUGCUCGGGAAGCUCGGCGACCGCGCACGCGAGGUCGCCGCCGCUUCCGGCGGAGGCCACGUCCAUGCGCACGACGCAGUCCGGGUCGGAGGCCAGGACGUAGACGGCGCCGGCGUGGAAGUGCACGGAGCCCGAGAGCGAGGCCGCGGGCACGCCGAACUCGGCGUCGCGCAGCGCCCACGCCCGCGUCUCCGACGAGAACACCUCCACCUCGCCGCCGCGGUCGCGCCACCGCCCCGUGAAGUUGAUGACGUGGUAGCCGCCGCCGCCGCCGCGGCGCGAGGAGGCGGACGACGACGACGAUGGGUCGAAGGCGAGCAUGGACAGGCGCGGGUCCUUCGACGGCGGCGGCAGCGCCGCCCAGCGCCUCGUGACGGGGUCCACGACGUAGAACCUUCUGGUGCCGGCGGCGCGGAGCAGGAGCAGGCCGUUGCAGGCGUCGGAGACGACGGAGACGUCGAGGAACGGGAAGAAGCCGAGGUCCCGGUCCCGGAGCAUCCCGCCGCCGCCGGCAGCUGAGUCCGCGCACGCGAACCGUGGCCGCGCCUUGCCGCGGGCUGAGGCGGCGGCGUCGUCGUCGUCGGGGAAGUAGACCACGGACAGCUGCAGCGGGAGCCUGCGGCGGAGGUAGCCGUCGGAGACGGUGGCGCACCAGGCCUUGGACACGCACUUGGACCGCGCCACGGAGUCGACGGGCAGCCUGCGGAUGAUCUCCGCCAUCAUGUCGUCGCUCAGGCUGGCCACCACGGCACUAGCCUCUCCGGCCGCCGCGGAGCUCCUGGUGUCGUCACUGUCGGAGGAAGAACGCCGCUCCAUGAUCGACAUUGUUCCGUUCCCGGAUUGGUGAAGCUCGCAGCGAAGCAAGGUGGCUUCUGACAGCAACGAGAAGCACGAGCACAGAAGGGUUCACGUUCACCGGUGACGACGCAACUGUGGAUUGGCGCCGCGCGUACCGGCUCCAACCGUCGGAAGUCGGAACCACCUCGCGAUCGAAUCGCUGGAGCCUGCGUGGGCGCCGCGUGUUCACUCGGCGGCAGUCGGAGGCCGCGUCGCCGUGCCACGUAACGCCCAAAACUGUGCUAAGGUGUCCCGCAGGCUAAGACCUGAACGUGCGGAAGAUCUGAUAUUAAUCUGUGCACAAAAACUGGCUGCCGUGAGGACGCGG